AGAGUUUGAUCCUGGCUCAGGAUGAACGCUAGCUACAGGCUUAACACAUGCAAGUCGAGGGGAAACGAUAUUGGAAGCUUGCUUCCGAUAGGCGUCGACCGGCGCACGGGUGAGUAACGCGUAUCCAACCUGCCCACCACUUGGGGAUAACCUUGCGAAAGUAAGACUAAUACCCAAUGAUAUCUCUAGAAGACAUCUGAAAGAGAUUAAAGAUUUAUCGGUGAUGGAUGGGGAUGCGUCUGAUUAGCUUGUUGGCGGGUAACGGCCACCAAGGCGACGAUCAGUAGGGGUUCUGAGAGGAAGGUCCCCCANAUUGGAACUGAGACACGGUCCAAACUCAUACGGGAGCA
rnacentral:rRNA from 1 species